rnacentral:misc_RNA from 1 species
GGGGAGUUCGUUCAUUGAGAAAGAUGCACUAUCAGCGGCUGCAGAAGCAGUGAAAACUGCAAUGUGUAAUCUAUUAAUCAAGAAGCAGUACCCUUCUGAAAAUCGAGAGUUUAGAAAGAGAGGGAGGAACGACAAGAGAGUAGAUAAGAAAAAAUGAGAUCGGUGGACAAAGUUACAUGGUAUGUAUGCUGGUGGGAGGUUAUCAGAGU